UAAGGAAUAUUGGUCAAUGGACGCAAGUCUGAACCAGCCAUGCCGCGUGAAGGAUGAAGGUCCUCUGGAUUGUAAACUUCUUUUAUCUGGGACGAAAACGGGAUUUUUAUCUCAAUUGACGGUACCAGAGGAAUAAGCACCGGCUAACUCCGUGCCAGCAGCCGCGGUAAUACGGAGGGUGCGAGCGUUAUCCGGAUUUACUGGGUUUAAAGGGUGCGUAGGUGGGCUUAUAAGUCAGUGGUGAAAUCUCCGAGCUUAACUUGGAAACUGCCGUUGAGACUAUAGGUCUUGAAUUAUCUGGAGGUAAGCGGAAUAUGUCAUGUAGCGGUGAAAUGCUUAGAUAUGACAUAGAACACCGAUUCCGAAGGCAGCUUACUACAUAUAAAUUGACGCUGAGGCACGAAAGCGUGGGGAUCAAACA
rnacentral:rRNA from 1 species